rnacentral:tRNA from 1 species
GGGGAAUUAGCUCAGUUGGCUAGAGCGCUUGACUGGCAGUCAAGAGGUCAGCGGUUCGACUCCGCUAUUCUCCAC